rfam:Parcubacteria group bacterium RIFCSPLOWO2_02_FTLL_40_12 rifcsplowo2_02_scaffold_6121, whole genome shotgun sequence.
GGGCACUUAGUUCAGUGGUAGAACGCUGCAUUCACAUUGCAGAGGUCGGAGGUUCAAUUCCUCCAGUGCCCA